AAAAUGUCAACUUUACAAUGUAAUUUAUACCAUACCCAAAAUGGGGGGGAAAGUUCUAAAAUAAUUAUAAAUUAAAUAUAAUGGUUGGUUCAUUUUAGGACUAAAGAAAAUGGUUUUACACAUUUCAGCGUAUACAAUCUAGUUUACUAAUAUGAACAUAUAUCUGGUUAAGGAUAUGUAGUGCUCAGGAGUAGCUGAGACAUGGGAGUCAAAUUUCUACGUUAUCCAGUAACAAGCCUUCCCCUAACAGCUGUCAUUGAACUGGACUCAACUGGACUAGCUAGCUAAGCAAGGAGUGGUGGUAACUUUCAACAUGGAUACAUAACAGGGCCAUGUAUGUCAAACAAAGUGUGUCACAAUUUGUAAUAGUAUUUUAUCACAUUAAGGUAAAUAUAAGUUUAUUAAAAUGUAUGAUUCUCUCGGUUGUAGAAACAUGUUUGAUAGUCUGGGCACAUGAUAAGGCUUAAUAUCAAAGGACCAGGCCGAGCGUGCAGUCAUGUCGGGACAUGUCCCUGCCGUACACACCAAUGGAGAGCUAACACAGAGCCUGAUGACAACAAACCCAAGUUUCUGGAACAGUCUGGGAGGACCCUGAACCUGCUGAGGCCACAGCUUUUGACACAACCUGUCUCCUGUCGACUUUCCUGUCUAGAAGUGCAAUUACGGGGAGACCAAGGCACGUUUUGAAUAAAAAAUGAUUACAGCCCUACGUAGGAUUUCGGUGUAUCAUCUGCGUUGCACAUGGCGUAAGCAUCGGUGAGACCAGUGGGAUGUAAACAGAAGUGCCCUGCCUGAGAUACAGUCUGGCAGGUCCGCCCGCAGAGACAUAAGCAUCAGGCUGUGUCAUGCAAACUGUGACCCUUCCCACUAUGUCUGGGCACACAGUGUCAGUCUGAAUCUGUCCAUGUAUCAGUUUCUGAGUCAACAUGGCUUCUGGGAAAAUAACACUCUCUCAUUAAUCACAUUGUACGCAUCCCCCCUCUGGCCGAUCAACUCUACAUAGACUGGCUUAGAGAAUAUGUGUCUAUGGCUUGUGAAUAUAAUGCCCGGGUGACAUUUAACAUCAUUUAUGAUUUUAGGGGUAUUACUAAAUUAUUUAGUGGCAUUACCACUUUCUCUGACAACCAUGGUGUACGAAAGGGACCACUUGAACAACAAUACAAAUCAAAUACAUAGAGAAAAGCCCACUUACUUCUUC